rnacentral:rRNA from 1 species
AGUCUGGUGCCAGCAGCCGCGGUAAUUCCAGCUCCAAUAGCGUAUAUUAAAGUUGUUGCAGUUAAAAAGCUCGUAGUUGGAUUUGUGGCGUACGGCAGGCCCCAGGCGCUUGCGUCUGUGUGGCUGGCCGUUGCCAUCCUUGGGUGGAACCUGUGUGGCAUUAGGUUGUCGUGCAGGGGAUGCCCAUCCUUUACUGUGAAAAAAUUAGAGUGUUCAAAGCAGGCUUAUGCCGUUGAAUAUAUUAGCAUGGAAUAAUGAGAUAGGACUUUGUCGCUAUUUUGUUGGUUUGCGCGAUGAGGUAAUGAUUAAUAGGGACAGUUGGGGGUAUUCGUAUUCCAUUGUCAGAGGUGAAAUUCUUGGAUUUCUGGAAGACGAACUACUGCGAAAGCAUUUACCAAGGAUGUUUUCAUUAAUCAAGAACGAAAGUUAGGGGAUCGAAGAUGAUUAGAUACCAUCGUAGUCUUAACCAUAAACUAUGCCGAUUAGGGAUUGGUGGGGUCUCGUUACGUCUCCAUCAGCACCUUAUGAGAAAAUCAUUAAAUUUUUGGGUUCCGGGGGGAGUAUGGUCGCAAGGCUGAAACUUAAAGAAAUUGACGGAAGGGCACCACCAGGAGUGGAGCCUGCGGCUUAAUUUGACCCAACACGGGAAAACUUACCAGGUCCAGACAUAGUGAGGAUUGACAGAUUGAGAGCUCUUUCUUGAUUCUAUGGGUGGUGGUGCAUGGCCGUUCCUAGUUGGUGGAGUGAUUUGUCUGGUUAAUUCCGUUAACGAACGAGACCGCUGCCUGCUAAAUAGCCCAGUGAGUGAAUUUUCACUGACUGCUGGCUUCUUAGAGGGACGUGCAUUCUAUUAGAUGCAGGAAGAUAGCGGCAAUAACAGGUCUGUGAUGCCCUUAGAUGUCCUGGGCCGCACGCGCGCUACACUGAUGCACUCAACGAGUUCCUACCUUGGCCGAGAGGCCUGGGCAAUCUUUUUAAUGUGCAUCGUGAUAGGGAUAGAUUAUUGCAAUUUUUAAUCUUGAACGAGGAAUUCCUAGUAAACGCAGAUCAUCAAUCUGCAUUGAUUACGUCCCUGCCCUUUGUACACACCGCCCGUCGCACCUACCGAUUGAAUGGUCCGGUGAAGCCUCGGGAUUGUGGCCAGUUUCCUUUAUUGGGAGUUGGUUGCGAGAACCUGUCUAAACCUUAUCAUUUAGAGGAAGGUGAAGUC